AAAAAUGUGAAACCUUUCGAAAUAGGUUGUAAUGUUAAUCUUACAUAUGUGGAAGCAUUACAACUCCAUGUAUAUUAGAAACCUAUUACAGGAAAACAUCUAUAAAUUAAUACUCGAUAAAUUAAUAAUCUCUAUAAAUUAGUAAAUUUCGUCGGUCCCAGCUUGGACCGAUGUAAAAUGACAUAAAUCGAUAAAAUAAUAAGAUAAUAAUAUUUUUAAAACUCUCAUGUAAAUAUAUAGUCUCAUUAAAAUCAUAAAUUAAUAAUCUGUCACUAUAUAUUUUUAUAUAAGCAAAAACUAAACAUCAUAUUGUUAGUUUUAUAUUCACAAUGAAAAUACUUUCAUUUUUCUUAAUAUUUUAAUAUAUUUUGAUAAUAUUUAGUAAAAUUAUAUGGAAAAUCACAUAACAAUUCUAUAAAACAUAAAAAUAUACACUAAAUAAGAUAAUAAAAUAAUAUGAAAGUCAAAUUUCUAAAAUAUACAGUAAAAUCAAAUAUUUUCUUAUUUUAUUAAUAAAAGUAUUCAAAAAUAGAAAAAAAAUCUAAAAAAAGAACAUUAUGUAAAUUAAUAUCUUUAUAAAUUAAUAAAAUUUUAAAGUCUUAGUAUUAUUAAUUUAUAGAUGUUCUACUAUUUUGUAAACAUAAACAAUAAUAAAAAAACACAAAAAAAUCAGCACGACUAUAUCAGCACAAUUCUAAAUGUCUUAUACACAAACAUAAAAUCUAUAAAAAAAAAAUACAGUUUACAAAUAUUUGUAUUUCUAAUAAAAUUUUGAAAAGAAAACGAUUCCGCCCUUUGAAAACGCGGAUCAAAAUCUAGUAGUAUAUAUAAAGUUGGUUGGUCUAAAUCAUUCGGUGGCAUAAAAUGUAAGUAAUGUAGUAAAAAGGCUUAUUACACUAGGACUCUGAGAGGAGCCGAUAGACUGACACAUCUUAUAUAUUAAAACAGAAGUCACAACCUUGAUUCAUGUGUGAUUUUUUUAAAAAUG
rnacentral:lncRNA from 1 species